GCUAAAAAUCUAGCCCCACUUUAUUCUAUAAUCCCUUAUCACUUAAAUUCAUGAAUCAAAACAUUUUAAUAAUCAAGUAAAGGCGAUUGAAAAAUUAAUAGGAGCAAUAUAUACUGUACCGCAAGGGAAAGAUGAAAUAGAAAUGAAAUAAUAAUUAAAGCAUAAAAAAGUAAAGAUUAAAUCUUGUACCUUUUGCAUCAUGAUUUAACUAGUCUACCCAGGCAAAAUGAUUUUAAGUCUGACCUCCCGAAACUAAGUGAGCUACUUCAAGGCAGCUUAAUGAGCAAAUCCGUCUCUGUCGCAAAAGAGUGGAGAGACCUUCAAGUAGAAGUGAUAGACCUAACGAACUUAGUAAUAGCUGGUUAUUCAAGAAAAGGAUCUCAGUCCAACCUAAAGUCAAAUUAAUGUUUAAAAAUAAAAAUUCUGACCUUAGAGUAAUUCAAUUAAGGUACAGCCUACUUGAAACAGGAUACAACCUUAACUAAUGGGUAACUUACCCCUUCAUCUUUUAAGUGGGCCUAAAAGCAGCCACCUUUAAAAUAGCGUCAAAGCUUAGCCGUCCUAUACAUCUAAUACCAAAAACAUCUAUGAACCCUAUACUCAUAUUGAAUAAUUCUAUAUUAUUAUAGAGAUUUUUAUGUUAAAACUAGUAACAAGAAUUAAAUUUUCUCUAUUAUGUUCGUGUACAUCAGAAAGGAUAAACCACUGAUAAUUGACAUGCAUGAGUAAAAAGCAGUAACUUAACAAGAAAACCCUCCUAACUCUAAUGUUAACCUAACACAAGUACAUCUCAAGAAAGAUUUAAAGAAAAAGAAGGAACUCGGCAAACAUUAACCUCGCCUGUUUACCAAAAACAUCGCCUCUUGUCAAAAUUUAAGAGGUCCAGCCUGCCCAGUGACCCUGUUCAACGGCCGCGGUAUCCUAACCGUGCAAAGGUAGCGUAA
rnacentral:rRNA from 1 species